UCCUUAGAAACAACAAUGUGAUAAAUUCCAAGCACUUAUGAUUCCACGUGGAAAUUAACAACUCUGAGUUUCUUGGGA